UACGUAGGCAGCAAGCGUUGUUCGGAGUUACUGGGCGUAAAGAGCGCGUAGGCGGCUCGGUAAGUGUGAAGUGAAAUCUCUAGGGCUCAACCCAGAAACUGCUUUACAUACUGCCAAGCUGGAGUGAUGAAGAGGUUUGUGGAAUUCCUGGUGUAGCGGUGAAAUGCGUUGAUAUCAGGAGGAACACCCAUGGCGAAGGCAGCAAACUGGUCAUCAACUGACGCUGAGGCGCGAAAGCGUGGGUAGCAAACAGG
rnacentral:rRNA from 1 species